rnacentral:sRNA from 12 species
GGCUUCAACAUCCCCGCAGGCUGGGCGCUGAAUCGGGACUGAUUCCCCCGACGACGUGCAGUGAGCCUGCUGUGCC